CGCGUAGGCGGUCAUUUAAGUCAGCUGUGAAAUGGUUUGGCUUAACCCGGAUCAUGCGGUUGAAACUGGAUGACUGGAGUGCUGGAGAGGCAAGUGGAAUUCCCAGUGUAGCGGUGAAAUGCGUAGAUAUUGGGAAGAACACCGGUGGCGAAGGCGACUUGCUGGCCAGCAACUGACGCUGAGGCGCGAAAGCCAGGGGAGCAAACG
rnacentral:rRNA from 1 species